ACAUCUGCCUGGAGGCGCACAGCAGCUUCUUCUCUCACUUGGAACAGAGUGGAGAAGUCUGCAAUGAUUCCUGGCCAUAUAUCAGCUGAAGUGAAGACACAGGAAAGGGAGCUCUUCACCUAAACUGCUAUUAGACUGCACAACUGUUUAAGGAGCAGAUACUUUAAAUGGACUGUCUUCCAUAAGAUUUAAAAUGGUGCUUCUUAGGAGAUCAUAACCACAACUCUGUUAUAUAACAAUCUCCUGCAAUCUCAUAUUUAAAAGAGAGAUAUGAUGUGCUACACUUGGAUUGAGUGACAUGACUAUACCAAGAUAAUUGUUUUUUGGACAGAAAAUACCAGUAAUUCUUGAUUUACGGCCAGAAUUGAGGACAAAAUUUAUGU